AAUUAAGUCCUUCUGGGUCCUAAUUUGCUCACUACCUGGAAGCAAUCCAGUCCCUCCUUGCUAAAUCCCACCAGGCUGCUCUUCAUUCCCUGAAGUAGGACUGUUUCCUCUUUUCGUUCCUACACCUUGUGCUUCCUGUGUGUGGAGAAACUGUGGUCAGUCAACUUCCUGUCUGUGCUUUGCCUGUUCCAUCAUGUUGGACUCCAUCCCUCUGCAACAUGCACUGAGAUGUAAGCCCACAACUGCAUGAUUCCAAGCUCACAUCCACAAGGAUUCCCUGCAGUGCUGCCUCUCCAGCCACAACAGAAUACACCCUAGACUGCAAGCCAGGAUGAGUCUGUUCGCCCUCAAGUGUUCUACCACAGC